GACGAAGGGGGCUAGCGUUGUUCGGAAUUACUGGGCGUAAAGCGAGUGUAGGUGGUUGUCGUAGUCAGGUGUGAAAGCCUUGAGCUCAACUCAAGAAAUGCACUUGAUACUGGGCAGCUAGAGGACCGGAGAGGAUAGUGGAAUUCCCAGUGUAGUGGUGAAAUACGUAGAGAUUGGGAAGAACACCAGUGGCGAAGGCGGCUAUCUGGACGGUUUCUGACACUAAGACUCGAAAGCGUGGGGAGCAAACAGG
rnacentral:rRNA from 1 species